GAUGGGGUCGCGGCAGGUGGACAGGGGUGGAUGGCGCACACAGCCGACCCCCUGCCGACCCUGCUGGGUGGCUCCCGCCUCCUUCCCUGGGUGCGGGGCACCUGGCACGGGGCUGCACCUGCUCGCCUUGGGGUGGGGGCUCCCCUCAGGCUGGACCCCAGAAGGCAGGUGGGGGCACGACCCGACACGUUGGAGGGUGCACCCCACAUUGUGCAGGAGCCCGCGGCUGCACCCCUGCUCUCCCCUCGGCUGUGCGGGAAGGAAGCGCCCUGGGGCGCCACCUCCUGGUGGCUUCUCUCCCCGCACCUGCUCACCUGAGCAACCUCGCCAGGCCAGGGUCCCUGCUAGGCCCGAACCCACCGUGCGUAGGACCCAGAAGCCCUGA
rnacentral:lncRNA from 1 species